rnacentral:rRNA from 1 species
UACGUAGGGUGCGAGCGUUGUCCGGAAUUAUUGGGCGUAAAGAGCUCGUAGGCGGUGUGUUACGUCGUUCGUGAAAACCUGCAGCUUAACUGUGGGCGUGCGGUCGAUACGGGCAUCACUGGAGUUCGGCAGGGGAGACUGGAAUUCCUGGUGUAGCGGUGAAAUGCGCAGAUAUCAGGAGGAACACCGGUGGCGAAGCGGGUCUCUGGGCCGAUACUGACGCUGAGGAGCGAAAGCGUGGGAGCAAACAGG